rnacentral:rRNA from 1 species
AUAACUACCGGAAACGGUAGCUAAUACCGGAUAAUUUCUUUUUUCUCCUGAAGGAAGAAUGAAAGACGGAGCAAUCUGUCACUGAGGGAUGGGCCUGCGGCGCAUUAGCUAGUUGGUGGGGUAACGGCCCACCAAGGCGACGAUGCGUAGCCGACCUGAGAGGGUGAACGGCCACACUGGGACUGAGACACGGCCCAGACUCCUACGGGAGGCAGCAGUAGGGAAUCUUCCGCAAUGGACGAAAGUCUGACGGAGCAACGCCGCGUGAGUGAUGAAGGUUUUCGGAUCGUAAAGCUCUGUUGCCAGGGAAGAACGUCCGGUAGAGUAACUGCUACCGGAGUGACGGUACCUGAGAAGAAAGCCCCGGCUAACUACGUGCCAGCAGCCGCGGUAAUACGUAGGGGGCAAGCGUUGUCCGGAAUUAUUGGGCGUAAAGCGCGCGCAGGCGGUCAUUUAAGUCUGGUGUUUAAACCUUGGGCUCAACCUGAGGUCGCACUGGAAACUGGGUGACUUGAGUACAGAAGAGGAAAGUGGAAUUCCACGUGUAGCGGUGAAAUGCGUAGAUAUGUGGAGGAACACCAGUGGCGAAGGCGACUUUCUGGGCUGNAACUGACGCUGAGGCGCGAAAGCGUGGGGAGCAAACAGGAUUAGAUACCCUGGUAGUCCACGCCCGUAAACGAUGAGUGCUAGGUGUUAGGGGUUUCGAUACCCUUGGUGCCGAAGUUAACACAGUAAGCACUCCGCCUGGGGAGUACGGUCGCAAGACUGAAACUCAAAGGAUUGACGGGGACCCGCACAAGCAGUGGAGUAUGUGGUUUAAUUNGAAGCAACGCGAAGAACCUUACCAGGUCUUGACAUCCCUNNNAAUCCACUAGAGAUAGUGGCGGCCUUCGGGACAGAGGAGACAGGUGGUGCAUGGUUGUCGUCAGCUCGUGUCGUGAGAUGUUGGGUUAAGUCCCGCAACGAGCGCAACCCUUAACUUUAGUUGCCAGCAAGUAAUGUUGGGCACUCUAGAGUGACUGCCGGUGACAAACCGGAGGAAGGUGGGGAUGACGUCAAAUCAUCAUGCCCCUUAUGACCUGGGCUACACACGUACUACAAUGGCCGGUACAACGGGAAGCGAAACCGCGAGGUGAAGCCAAUCCCAUCAAAGCCGGUCUCAGUUCGGAUUGCAGGCUGCAACUCGCCUGCAUGAAGUCGGAAUUGCUAGUAAUCGCGGAUCAGCA